AGGGGGCUGGGCCGCUGCAGCAGAUGAAAAGCCUUCCAGGACCGUCCAACCUUCCCAGGAAUGCCCAGAAUUCCAGUUCCUAAUUAUGACAUCCACGGAGAAGAGGCCCAACACCCCUCUCUGCCACCACAACGGCAAUUACAAACACACACUUGGCACUUUGCAGGUGUGGCGAACUUGACCCACUUUCUGGAGGUGUUUGGGAUCAAUUCACAGGAUCAAGCCCCUGGCCAGACCACUCUGUGAGUCACUGUGGGAAUAAAAGGGCCCUUUGCUAGAGAUGGCACACAAGGGUCCUUCAUAAGCCCCACAUGGGCACUUUAUAACAUCUGACAUAAGCAUUUAUAAGUGUGGCUGUGGUUCCAUCUCUGCAUGGCUGAUGGAGUUCAGUCUGUCGAGGCUGCAAGGUUUGCUCUUGCCCGUUAACUCUUCUCUUCGUUACCCGUGAACUAAGAAAAAGAAUGCAACAAAGAGUGGAUACUAGGGGGGUCGGCACAGAAUCAGAAGAAGGCAGGAGGCAAAAACAUUCAGAAGUAGAUUAACACCAUAAAACCGGGCCAAUCAUUAUUAGCCAGAAUAGUGUUAGUCUGCAUCAGAGGUGCUGAUUGAUUUUAUUGCUUGUUAUGAAAAAGUUCUCUGCUCCUGUGCAUUGUCUGGUAUAGUGACGGGUAUUUCUGUCAGAACAUCUGACUGUAACAUGAUUUAUACAACAGUCUUCUGCAACACCUCUAGGGCUAAGGAUGGAUGAGUUUCAAGGUUUCAGAGUGGAUAUUGAGCAGGUUCUAUGUUUACAGUGUUCACCUUUGUGCUGUGGUCUUUCAGCACGAUAAGCUACUUUGGUUAACCAAAGUCAUGUCCUGUACGAAUCAAAAAUCUGAGCUGAUGAUGACCUAAAACCAGGAGGAGGGGCAUCCAACAUAUUUUACACCAAACAAAAAUGUGAACUAGAAUGAAGCAAAAAGCCAGGAAAUAACUGAAAGCAUUAGGAUUAAUCAUGUUUGAAGCAAAGAUUGGGCCAAAAAGGUUUGAGGAAAUGUCAAUACAGUUCUGUGAAUAACUUAAAUCUGCAAAUAAUAAAAGGGGGGAUGGACAAAGUUACUGGGUUCAUCCUCUGGACACCACAAAUGUCGGCGUCCACACUAAACUAACAUGUGGACUGAAAGAGCAAUGGACACACGUUGCCUUUCCUGGAGCUCUGUCACUCACAGGAAUAAAAAAAAAAAAACGUGUUGGUUAAAGUUAGAAAAGGAUUGUGGCCUGGGUUACAAAAACACAAUGUGGUAAAGUUUAGGAAAGGAUCAGGGCCGUGGUUGAAUAGAAGAACAACCAAUGCUGGUGGCUGAAGGAAUGAAAACAGCAUGCACUGUCGUCACAGUUCCCCAAACGUUGCCCUCAGAUCUCUCCCAUAGCAGAUGCUCUCACCUUUGCCUCUGACAAACAACAGUUAUAAUUCGCACAGCCACACCAGGUCCUGAGAAAAACUUAUCAACAUAGAUCAUUUAAGAUAUCUGAACGAGCCGUGUUUUUCUAGUGAGCACUGGUGUCUAAUUUUAGCCAAUGUCUUGCUGGUAUGGAAUGUUAGAUAACCUGCUACCAGUUUUGAGGCCAUGCCUGAGUGUUUGUGUUUGUAACCAUAUGUGUGAACAUUCCUUGCAAGGCCAAGCAUUAGAGCUGAGUGCACAGAGGGGGGUCAGUGGAGUGCUUGGAGACCAACUCAGUGAACCCUGGUAGCUCAGUUCAUCCUUCAUCAUUACCUUGUGCUGAAAGAUCACAAUAAGACAGAGAACAGACUGCCUGGACACACAACACACUUUUAUUCACCUCACAAUCCCUUAUCUAUCCUCUAAACCCGUACUGAGCCAUUGCCUCAGAGCGAGUCUCAUUAAUUUGGUUUUGAAACACGUUUCUUUUUCUUCAUUAGACAUUCAUGUAUUAGUUGGACAAAUCUCCUGUGACCACAAAAGAACUACAAAUAGCAUCUUGACCCCAAGGUUGAACGUCCGGUGUAAAUAUUUGAAGCUCUGCUGCUCUUGUGCAAGAAGUUGAAAUAAACUGGAACCCCAAGUACUCGGUGCAACGGUGAUGUGUCCCGUAGUUUGAACCUCUUCUUUGGGUCCCGACUCUCCAUCAGCCAAGACAACAUGGCAGAGGGAGAUGUUUUAAAAGUCUGGGGAGCCUCAGUGCAACGAGGUGCAGCUUAGUUUCCAUGACACUGUGACGGUGGGCGCCACUCAUCUUCAUGGUUGCGGAUUCUAACCCCCAAUCUGAUGAUUACACUGUCUUGGCCAUUCCAGGGUGCGUAGUCAUACCUGUGGGUUGGAUGGGAGCUGCAGACAGCUAGUGAAUUGAAGUUGAGUGUUUAUGGUGUGAGAAGCAGCCCUGGGAUCUAAUCGUGGUCUUAGUGGAGUCUGUCACAGUAGGUUUGGUGAGAGGCAGACAGUGGCCCUCUGUGGGCAAAGGUUUCUGUGGUCGGAGCGGCUGCAUCUCAUGGCUUGAGUUAGCUCGAACCUACAGCAUAUGCGUGCGCUGGCCAACAGUCCUAGUUAACCGGCCGGUUUGUACGCGUGGAGUGUUCAAUUUAACUGCUAACCCGAAGCCGGGCUCCUUCCAGAGGAGCUGGAUGAAGUUGCUGCGUGGGCUCUUUGCAGGCUGAACGUGCGCCAUCAGUUUGGGUUAGAGGGAGUUGGCCUGAGGAGCUGAGGAUGUAGCAGACAUGCAUAGUGGUGGGAAGUAUGUGGUAAUUAUUGUGUUCAGGGCUGCCAUAUGUCAACUCUCCCCUUCUGGAUAUUUACUGGACCCACAUUCCUCUUGAUGGGUUGGUGGAUGGGGAUGCACAGUGUGUGUGUGUGUGUGUGUGUGUGUGUGUGUGUGUGUGUGUGUGUGUGUGUGUGUGUGUGUGUGUGUGUGUGUGUGUGUGUGUGUGUGUGUGUGUGUGUGCAUGUCACCAUAUGCAUGUCUUUGUCUGCAUGCAGCAGACAAAGACAUGCAUAUGGUGUGCACCACCACAGUCAGUGCCCUGGGCCAUCUUCCAUCCUAAUACCUCAUUGUCUAUUCUUGUUCUUCUCUUCCUCACUUCUUUUUUUGGUUUAUAUCCCCUCUAGAGAUUCAGUUUGUCUUUUUGGGGUUAUUUACAUUUUUCAGAGACGCGGCUGUUCGUCGAAUAUACAAAUACAUCUCCGUCUGUUUAUGUGUUGUAUGUAUGUUAGAUUCCAAGCGUUCUCCUAGUAAUGAUGUGCAAAGAACUAGGUGCAUUCGUUGUGUCUGUCUGCCGACAGCGGGAGGUGAACUGCUUCCAUUAGAAAAACAAAAUCCUUUUUGCGUAUUUGUUUUGAAUAGUUCCCUGAAAUCCCUUCAAGAGAAAAAAACAGAGAGAUCUGCUGGCUUGAGUUCCUCCACACUGUUUGUUUUUGUGUACCUGUCAUGAUAUGAGCUGAUUUCACCUCCACUUUUUCAGAGCAUUUGGAUUCAUAAAUUAAAAUCUCUGGGAAGCUUACAACUGAUCACUGGAGUUUAUUUUUUCUGCGCUGUCACUGGUAAAACAUUGAUUAAAAGUUCCUGUUUCAAAAGAUCUGACUGUACUUGAAUACAUGAACAGACAUGACCAAUGACUUCUUCUGUGACUUUUUUGGCUCUAUCCCUAUUCUGUCCUAUAAAGGAAUUAAGGUCCCGCUCUCAGUAGGGAGUAGCUUUCGUGGCAUUGCCUGUGAAGCUAGAGCUGAUUUGGAGGAUUAUUAUAAUCCAGUAAGCUAACAUAAAGAUAGUUUUAUCAGGAGCUUAAGGAGUCUGUAAAAUGGAAACACUGCAAAAACUGAUAUGCAAGAGAGACUUAGAGGACUGAAGCAAGAAAGGAACAGGCUGAAGGUCAUGCAAAACAGCCGAGACAUAUUUAACUAAACUUCUUCUGGAUGCGGCUCCACUCUUGAGACCAGGGAUUCACACACAGUAGCCUUGGUCUGACGAUGGUUUAUGGCCUAUUGCUCCACACUUGUCUACCUGCCAUCCCUGUGUGUGGUGAUGUCAGAGGGGCAACUCAUGCCUGAGAUCCGCUCCUGGCAACUGUCCAGACAGGUUGGUCAGAAGUCCCCUGUACCAUGAUGUGUGAUGUACAUACAGCAGGCGAGGCCUGAGCAGUGGUCUUGCCUGUCAUAGCGGGACCCUCUAAGGAGUCUGUGUUGUUAUAGGAUGGGUCCCAAGCCGCGGCAUUAGCUCUUAUUCCCCACAGCCACUCAUGACAAACCAGCGGGCUUCAGAUGUGGCUUUUCCACACACAGAAGAGCAGAGUGGUUCAGACUAAUAUUUUAUAGACCAGUAAAAACAGCACCAUAAACAGAGGCCUCACUGAGAAGCACAUGGGGGUCUUGGUCCUGUAAACCAGCAAGUCAACGAGGCAGCGAGUUUUGAAUAUGCGUUUUAAUAGCGAUUCACCAAACGCUGCGUUGUCCCGUUUUGAAAAAUUAUUGCUGAUGAUGUGAACUCAGCAGCUUAAACACCCAAUUGUUGUCUUCUUAACACGACUUUACUCACAUCUCAGCUUUUCCUUGACGGUCUGAGUUUCCUGUGACAAUAAACUUCAUUUGUUGGCCGCGUCUUGGAUUGGCCGCACUCACUUAAUCGCACUUUCCUAAAUCAAAAAUUCCACAGAAAUAUAGUUCUAUGAAAUACGGUAUGGUGGUGUGUUCCUAGAAUUUGGUGUUCCUAGAAGACUUGGUGCUAAAUCUCAGGAAUGCAUAUGAAACCAGAAUGUGGGCCAAAUGGUUUCUACGAAAGUCAAACUUGGAAACAAAGUGACACCGAGUCCUUUCCGGAUUGUUGGUAAACUGCUAUGAUGGGAGAUGGGAUUUACUGGAGGAGGCACGGUGUCCUGUUGUGCUCACGCUGCUCGGUGAUACGGAGGACCGAGACGUCUGAUCCGCUAAGCAACAGCUCUCCCUCUGGAUUAGGUGGUGGGCACUGAGGUCAGCGUUGUUGUCUGAGUCACACACACACAUACAUACACACAAUGCAGUGCAAAACCAGACAUAAGUGCCACCACACAUGAAUGGAGAUAAAUGCAGCGAGUGCCUGAGGUUUCCAUUGUGGCUGUGUUAUAUGAGUAAAUGAUUAAACUGCAUAGUUGGAGCCUGUCUCCUGCCCGCAGCAGCAUACUCCAAGGCCACACAGCUGGUACCAAUUUGCGUGCCCCCGCCACAUCGUGAUCCAACUGCAUGUGUAGGAAUCAUGGCUUAUCGUGGCAGUAAUUCACUCCUUCCUCUCAUGCCGAAGCUAUUCUUGGCCUUUCUGCCUCUUUAUUUUUAGUCACGGCUGCUUCUCUGGACCAUUGAAGUGGUCUCGAUGUUGUGUGUCCGCUCGCAGCGCUUAGAACCCGGGUUGUGAACGGACGUGAGUCACCUUGGUGAGACGAGCUUCAUUGGCUUGGUUUAUUUUAAAAUCUACAGAUGUUACCUGUCACACUGGGUGAAUGCCGGAUGUGUGUGUGUGUGUGUGUGUGUGUGUGUGUGUGUGUGUGUGUGUGUGUGUGUGUGUGUGUGUGUGUGUGUGUGUGUGUGUGUGUCUGACCGUGCCCCUCGUUGCAUCAGGUUCAAUUGGGGGCUCGCACAAAGAGAUCUGGGUCCUAUUAAAGCUCUGGCAAACGAAAACACAAAUAAAAAUAGACUAUAAAGUCUCUGAUAAAUGUUGCUUUGAGUGCAUUUAAGACAUUAAAGCGGUCACUUGUAGGACACGUGUUUUAUGUCCAGGCUGAGGUGCCUUCACAGGAGGAUGGGUGGCCCCUGGGCUUCUCGCUUGAUGACCUCAUUCACCGUUAGGCGGGAAAUGAACUGGUCUCCCUGUCCUUUGUGCCCGGUCUCAUCCCAGGGUUCCUGGAUGGACUGAAAGCCACAGGGAACAUGGAGUGCAUCCCAGACUAACAUAAUGGAGUUAAUUGAUCAACUAAGGUUCAGUCGGGGGACAGUCCUUGAAUGGACUUGUUCCUUCUUCAUUUGUGACUCGCUGACGUCCAAGAUUACCUCACUCCAUUCAUUGCUUCACACCUGAAUCUGAGCUCCUAGGUCACUCUGAUAAUCAUGAUAGCUCCCUUUGUCUUCCUCCACUGCCUUGUUUUUGUUCAGCCCUCUUAUCUCAGCAGGGCUCAUCUGGACAUUGAGUACAGACGGACAGUUUGCCCAAGCUCUUGUUAAAGGAAUACAUUUUAGUAUUUCUUGAGAGUUAGUUAUGAUAAGAUUCAUGUCACUACUGUCCAUAUGCUAAUAGCAAAGCUACAUGUAAAGAAGCUCUAGGAAGUACCUGUGUCUGCAACCAGUAAGGAACUGGUAAUAAAAAAAGAUGAGUCAUGAUUUUUGGUUUUCUUUUGCAU